UACUUAACGCUCAACAGCAACAGAAAUAUUAUUGCCUCUCGCAUAUCCUCUCUUAUCUGUUCCUUCGUGAGGUGGUGUUAGAUUGGUUUAAUUUACACGUGGCCCACAAAGUUAAACACACAUGGAAUUUACAAUCUACAGGGAUGAUAAUAUCAUUUAUUUAAUCAAUGGCCAGAUCUUUCUGAUUAACGUGAGAGUUCGUAGAAAGUGAUUUAAUCAAUGGCCAGAUCUUUCUGAUUAACGUGAGAGUUCGUAGAAAGUGCCCAAUUAGUAUAGGUAUAGAUGGCCAGAUCUUUCUGAUUAACGUGAGAGUUCGUAGAAAGUGAUUUAAUCAAUGGCCAGAUCUUUCUGAUUAACGUGAGAGUUCGUAGAAAGUGCCCAAUUAGUAUAGGUAUAGAUAGAUAGAUAGAUAGAUAGAUUGUAUCCAAUGCAUACAUAGAUUAAUUAAAUUUAAUUGAACUUACUCAAUUCG
rnacentral:lncRNA from 1 species